UGGCGAGUGGCGGACGGGUGAGUAAUACAUCGGGACCUACCCAGACGUGGGGGAUAACGUAGGGAAACUUACGCUAAUACCGCAUACGUCCUACGGGAGAAAGCAGGGGAUCUUCGGACCUUGCGCGGUUGGACGGACCGAUGUUCGAUUAGCUUGUUGGUGAGGUAAUGGCUCACCAAGGCGACGAUCGAUAGCUGGUCUGAGAGGAUGAUCAGCCACACUGGGACUGAGACACGGCCCAG
rnacentral:rRNA from 1 species